rnacentral:lncRNA from 1 species
CCGGCUUGAAAUUGUGCUAAUGGUAAGCAAAAUUUCGGAUAGAAAAUCCCAUUCGGAUUAUUCGCUUUCCAUUUAAUAAUUUCAAAUGUUAAAUCGCGAAGAGCCUGGAACUGGUGAAAAAAAAUUAAAAAAUGUAAAUGGAACAACAUUUACCGGUUGAAACUUUCCAAUCGGUAAGAGAGGACAACCUUUUCAAACAAACCGUUUAUUCCGAAAAAGUUCCGGUUGGGCCGUCGAAAUAUGCUUGUUCC